rnacentral:rRNA from 1 species
AUUCCAGCUCCAAUAGCGUAUAUUAAAGUUGUUGCAGUUAAAAAGCUCGUAGUUGGAUUUGUGGCGUGUACCGUGGCGUCCAUUUUUGUGGUACUGCCGCGGUUACGCCAUCCUUGGGUGGAACCUGCGUGGCAUUAGGUUGUCGUGCAGGGGAUGCCCAUCGUUUACUGUGAAAAAAUUAGAGUGUUCAAAGCAGGCUUAUGCCGUUGAAUAUACUAGCAUGGAAUAAUGAGAUAGGUCUUUGGUCCUAUUUUGUUGGUUUGCGGGCCAGAGAAAUGAUUAACAGGGACAGUUGGGGGUAUUCGUAUUCCAUUGUCAGAGGUGAAAUUCUUGGAUUUCUGGAAGACGAACUACUGCGAAAGCAUUUACCAAGGAUGUUUUCAUUAAUCAAGAACGAAAGUUAGGGGAUCGAAGAUGAUUAGAUACCAUCGUAGUC